rnacentral:rRNA from 1 species
GAUGAACGCUGGCGGCGUGCCUAAUACAUGCAAGUCGAGCGAACGGACGAGGAGCUUGCUCCUCUGAUGUUAGCGGCGGACGGGUGAGUAACACGUGGAUAACCUACCUAUAAGACUGGGAUAACUUCGGGAAACCGGAGCUAAUACCGGAUAAUAUUUUGAACCGCAUGGUUCAAUAGUGAAAGACGGUCUUGCUGUCACUUAUAGAUGGAUCCGCGCUGCAUUAGCUAGUUGGUAAGGUAACGGCUUACCAAGGCAACGAUGCAUAGCCGACCUGAGAGGGUGAUCGGCCACACUGGAACUGAGACACGGUCCAGACUCCUACGGGAGGCAGCAGUAGGGAAUCUUCCGCAAUGGGCGAAAGCCUGACGGAGCAACGCCGCGUGAGUGAUGAAGGUCUUCGGAUCGUAAAACUCUGUUAUUAGGGAAGAACAAAUGUGUAAGUAACUGUGCACAUCUUGACGGUACCUAAUCAGAAAGCCACGGCUAACUACGUG